rnacentral:tRNA from 1 species
GAGGAUAUAGCUCAGUGGUAGAGAGCAUGCUUAGCAUGCAUGAGGUCCUGGGUUCAAUCCCCAGUACCUCCA